UGUCAGCAUUUCUUCUGCUGGAUCGGAGCUCUGCCUGCACAGACUCUUCUCCCCACACAGCAAUAAGAUCAAUCAUCUCCUGUGUACUCCAUGCUGGAGCGUGUUUGUGGCCUUGAGUCUCGAUGAUCAGCUGUGCUGGAAAGCUCUCCAUGCUGAUCAAACAGGAAAUGAAAAAUGCAAAGUUCAUGGAGCU